UUUUUUUUAUUUUUUUAAUGAUAUGGGGGUCCUAUUAUGUUUGUUAGUCUAAUUCCCUCAAAUCAGGUGUGUGUGUGUUUUAAUUUAACAAUUCGAGUGCAUUGCAUUGAACUUACAAAUUGAGGUUUGUGUGGAUCCUAAUAGAGGUUAAUGAAAGAUCCUCUAGUUUUCGAGCUAACAACAAAGCCUAUUCAAUAUAAAGAUUCAAUCUUUAUGCCCUAUUUCAUAUAAAGAUCGAAUCUUUAACAAGUAGAAGUGAGAUUCGAGUGUUUUGAGACUUGUUAUUGAUUUUACUAUCCACAAACACAUCAUUUGCUUUAUAAUUCUUUUUUUUUGUUU